rnacentral:rRNA from 1 species
UGGGGAAUUUUGCACAAUGGGGGAAACCCUGAUGCAGCGACGCCGCGUGAUUUAGAAGGCCUUCGGGUUGUAAAAAUCUUUUCUAUGGGAAGAAAAUGACAGUACCAUAGGAAUAAGGACUGGCUAAUUACGUGCCAGCAGCCGCGGUAAUACGUAAGGUCCGAGCGUUGUCCGGAAUCAUUGGGCGUAAAGGGUACGUAGGCGGGUAAGCAAGUUAGAAGUGAAAUCCUGUAUCUCAACUACAGUAAGCUUUUAAAACUGCUCAUCUUGAGAUAUGGAAGGGAAAGUGGAAUUCCUAGUGUAGCGGUGAAAUGCGCAGAUAUUAGGAGGAAUACCGGUGGCGAAGGCGACUUUCUGGCCAUAAUCUGACGCUGAGGUACGAAAGAGUGGGUAGCAAACAGG